AUUAUAGUCUGCCCUCUUUUGGCC
rnacentral:piRNA from 1 species